UACGUAGGUGGCGAACGUUAUCCGGAGUGACUGGGUGUAAAGGGUCCGUAGGCGGAUAGGCAAGUCUGACGUGAAAGCGCCCGGCUCAACUGGGCGAGUGCGUUGGAAACUGCCCGUCUUGAAUCACGCAGAGGUCGGCGGAAUUCCCGGUGUAGUGGUGGAAUGCGUAGAGAUCGGGAGGAACCUCGAAAGCGAAGGCAGCCGACUGGGGGAUGAUUGACGCUGAGGGACGAAAGCGUGGGGAGCGAACAGG
rnacentral:rRNA from 1 species